ACUAAUCACAGGUCCCAGGUCUGCAUCUGGUUCUGACCCACAUGUGACUUUAAGGGCCUUCGCUCGCUCAACGAGUUUAUCCUCCCUGGUUAGUAUUAGACAAGUAAAGCUAAUCUUUCAAUACUUUCAAAUGAAAAUCAACAGGUCUCACACAGAUUCUUCAGUUACUUUUAAUAUUAGGACACCACAGUAGUCAAUCCAAAUUUAUAAAAGAAAAAAGUGUUAUCUUAACAAUCCUAUAUAUGGUUCAGGCACCCUAAACAUGUGGACUUUGUAAACCGUAGUCCGUUGGAGAGAAAAAGAUUACAGGCAAAUGUGUUUAUCACAGAAAUAUAAGAUAUUCGAGAAGGUGACACCUCAAAUACUUGGGAGUAAUUUGAAUAAAUAAAGUUAGCAGUACCAUGAUUUUGAAUCCCCAACAAAAACCACUGUACUCAGUGCCAUGCAUCUCUGGCCAGCGGCACCAAACCCAGCAGCCAGUAGCGCAUUUAAAGUUGCAUCGACGUUGGCAUCAGGUAAGACAAGUCCAUGAUUUUUC
rnacentral:lncRNA from 1 species